rnacentral:lncRNA from 1 species
UCCAGGAAGUCUUUCUUUCUUUGAGUCACCACACACAACCCCAGGACUUCAGGUGGAAUUGUUCAGAAGUUAAUUACUCCAAAGUGUCUGUUUUGAGACAGGCACCUGUCAGCUUCUAGGGAGGUGUUUCUGAGGGUAAACUGACUCUAUCUGGGGAGGUACAGGGAGCAGGGAAGGAAAGACGACUGACUGUGCCUACGAAGUCACCCCAGAAAUCAGAAUUACUUUCUCCUCAGUCCCCCAGUUGUUUCAUCUGAGAGGACUCUGGGGGCCGAGUCUGAAUAAAGAUUACAAACCACCUUCCCCACCCAUCUCCAGCCUGGAAUUCCCAACAGACAGGCAGGGUUCGCACAGACAAAAGGCAUCACUACAUGCAUUUAUGAUUUGCCUAAUUAUCUCUGUCCUCCCCGAUACUACAGCUCCAUAAACUUGUCACAGUUGUGUUUGUCCUUUGGCACUAGGUUGCUAUGCGCACACAUGUGGAUGUUUGUUUACAGAAUGUGGCCAGCAGCAGGGCCUUCAUGUGGGCUGACAACACCCCG